rnacentral:rRNA from 1 species
CACGUAGGGUGCGAGCGUUGUCCGGAAUUAUUGGGCGUAAAGAGCUCGUAGGCGGUGUGUCGCGUCGGCCGUGAAAACCUGCAGCUUAACUGUGGGCUUGCGGUCGAUACGGGCAUGACUGGAGUUCGGUAGGGGAGACUGGAAUUCCUGGUGUAGCGGUGAAAUGCGCAGAUAUCAGGAGGAACACCGGUGGCGAAGGCGGGUCUCUGGGCCGAUACUGACGCUGAGGAGCGAAAGCGUGGGGAGCGAACAGG